CGGGUGGUAAUGCCGGAUGCUCCAGUUGAUCGCAUGGUCUUCUGGGAAAGCCUUUGCGGCAUGGGAUGGGGUCGCGUCCUAUCAGCUUGAUGGCGGGGUAACGGCCCACCAUGGCUUCGACGGGUAGCCGGCCUGAGAGGGCGACCGGCCACAUUGGGACUGAGAUACGGCCCAGACUCCUACGGGAGGCAGCAGUGGGGAAUAUUGCACAAUGGGCGCAAGCCUGAUGCAGCGACGCCGCGUGAGGGAUGGAGGCCUUCGGGUUGUAAACCUCUUUUGUUAGGGAGCAAGGCAUUUUGUGUUGAGUGUACCUUUCGAAUAAGCACCGGCUAACUACGUGCCAGCAGCCGCGGUAAUACGUAGGGUGCAAGCGUUAUCCGGAAUUAUUGGGCGUAAAGGGCUCGUAGGCGGUUCGUCGCGUCCGGUGUGAAAGUCCAUCGCUUAACGGUGGAUCCGCGCCGGGUACGGGCGGGCUUGAGUGCGGUAGGGGAGACUGGAAUUCCCGGUGUAACGGUGGAAUGUGUAGAUAUCGG
rnacentral:rRNA from 1 species